rnacentral:sRNA from 1 species
AGUAGAUUGGGAAACUCAUCAAAUUUACGUGAAAUACCGAGACAAGCUUAGUCGACUAAUGGCGGGCCCCGACCGCUCUUCGGAGCGGUGGCUAAUAACCCAGGCGGAUUACAAAGGUUGGCGAGCGCUCAAAUCCUGUCAUUCGGAGUUUCAUCGCAUCCUUUGGUGUGGUCUUA